CCCCCCUCCUCCCCACUCCCCCCGCUCGGGGAGCCUCCUCAGCCGGAGGAGGCGACAACAAAGCGGCGGCGGCGGCGGCGGCAGCGGCAGCGGCGGCUCCUCAACAUGGCAGCGCUGAGCGCGGCCACUUCCGGUUUUCAUUUCUGGGCAGCCAAGCCUUCUUUCUGCACUUCCGCUGAGCUAGGCCACCUCCCUCUGAGUAGCCUUCCAUCACCAGCAGGGAAUCCCACUGGGGUGCAGGCUCAGAUCCUCCCAGGGUGGAGGGAAACACUUCCCACGCACAGACAUGUCAUUACUGGGUUAUUCUUGGGUGACGGGCUGAGCUUCCCCACCCUCCCCUUCACUCCAGAUAUGAUGUGAAAUUCUACCCAAAAGCCCCUCCUCUCCCGCCAACAAAAAUAAAAACAAGUGAGAAAAUAUAGACAUGAAAUUAUUUUAGUCCUUCA